rnacentral:rRNA from 1 species
UACGGAGGGUGCAAGCGUUAAUCGGAAUUACUGGGCGUAAAGCGCACGCAGGCGGUCUGUCAAGUCGGACGUGAAAUCCCCGGGCUCAACCUGGGAACUGCAUUCGAAACUGGCAGGCUAGAGUCUUGUAGAGGGGGGUAGAAUUCCAGGUGUAGCGGUGAAAUGCGUAGAGAUCUGGAGGAAUACCGGUGGCGAAGGCGGCCCCCUGGACAAAGACUGACGCUCAGGUGCGAAAGCGUGGGGAGCAAACAGG